GGGUGAGUAACACGUGGGUAACCUGCCCUAAAGUCUGGGAUACCACUUGGAAACAGGUGCUAAUACCGGAUAACAACAAUAGCUGCAUGGCUAUUGCUUAAAAGGCGGCGAAAGCUGUCGCUAAAGGAUGGACCCGCGGUGCAUUAGCUAGUUGGUAAGGUAAUGGCUUACCAAGGCGACGAUGCAUAGCCGAGUUGAGAGACUGAUCGGCCACAUUGGGACUGAGACACGGCCCAAACUCCUACGGGAGGCAGCAGUAGGGAAUCUUCCACAAUGGGCGAAAGCCUGAUGGAGCAACGCCGCGUGAGUGAAGAAGGUUUUCGGAUCGUAAAGCUCUGUUGUUGGUGAAGAAGGAUAGAGGUAGUAACUGGCCCCUAUUUGACGGUAAUCAACCAGAAAGUCACGGCUAACUACGUGCCAGCAGCCGCGGUAAUACGUAGGUGGCAAGCGUUGUCCGGAUUUAUUGGGCGUAAAGCGAGCGCAGGCGGAAAGAUAAGUCUGAUGUGAAAGCCCCCGGCUUAACCGAGGAAUUGCAUCGGAAACUGUGUUUCUUGAGUGCAGAAGAGGAGAGUGGAACUCCAUGUGUAGCGGUGGAAUGCGUAGAUAUAUGGAAGAACACCAGUGGCGAAGGCGGCUCUCUGGUCUGUAACUGACGCUGAGGCUCGAAAGCAUGGGUAGCGAACAGGAUUAGAUACCCUGGUAGUCCAUGCCGUAAACGAU
rnacentral:rRNA from 1 species